GAGCUCGUAGGUGGUUUGUCGCGUUGUUCGUGAAAUCUCACGGCUUAACUGUGAGCGUGCGGGCGAUACGGGCAGACUUGAGUACUGCAGGGGAGACUGGAAUUCCUGGUGUAGCGGUGGAAUGCGCAGAUAUCAGGAGGAACACCGGUGGCGAAGGCGGGUCUCUGGGCAGUAACUGACGCUGAGGAGCGAAAGCGUGGGGAGCGAACAGGAUUAGAUACCCUGGUAGUCCACGCCGUAAACGGUGGGUACUAGGUGUGGGUUUCCUUCCUUGGGAUCCGUGCCGUAGCUAACGCAUUAAGUACCCCGCCUGGGGAGUACGGCCGCAAGGCUAAAACUCAAAGAAAUUGACGGGGGCCCGCACAAGCGGCGGAGCAUGUGGAUUAAUUCGAUGCAACGCGCAGAACCUUACCUGGGUUUGACAUGCACAGGACGCCGGCAGAGAUGUCGGUUCCCUUGUGGCCUGUGUGCAGGUGGUGCAUGGCUGUCGUCAGCUCGUGUCGUGAGAUGUUGGGUUAAGUCCCGCAACGAGCGCAACCCUUGUCUCAUGUUGCCAGCGGGUAAUGCCGGGGACUCGUGAGAGACUGCCGGGGUCAACUCGGAGGAAGGUGGGGAUGACGUCAAGUCAUCAUGCCCCUUAUGUCCAGGGCUUCACACAUGCUACAAUGGCCGGUACAAAGGGCUGCGAUGCCGCGAGGUUAAGCGAAUCCUUUUAAAGCCGGUCUCAGUUCGGAUCGGGGUCUGCAACUCGACCCCGUGAAGUCGGAGUC
rnacentral:rRNA from 1 species